UUGGCCUACCAAGGCAAUGAUCUAUAGCUGAUCUGAGAGGAUGAUCAGCCACACUGGAACUGAGAUACGGUCCAGACUCCUAUGGGAGGCAGCAGUGGGGAAUAUUGGACAAUGGGCGAAAGCCUGAUCCAGCCAUGCCGCAUGAGUGGAGAAGGCCUUCGGGUUGUAAAGCUCUUUUAGUGAGGAAGAUAAUGACGGUACUCACAGAAGAAGUCCUGGCUAACUCCGUGCCAGCAGCCGCGGUAAUACGGAGAGGGCUAGCGUUAUUCGGAAUCAUUGGGCGUAAAGGGCGCGUAGGCGGAUUAGUAAGUUAAAAGUGAAAUCCCAAGGCUCAACCUUGGAAUUGCUUUUAAAACUGCUAGUCUAGAGAUUGAAAGAGGAUAGAGGAAUUCCUAGUGUAGAGGUGAAAUUCGUAAAUAUUAGGAGGAACACCAGUGGCGAAGGCGUCUAUCUGGUUCAAAUCUGACGCUGAGGCGCGAAGGCGUGGGGAGCAAACAGGAUUAGAUACCCUGGUAGUCCACGCUGUAAACGAUGAAUGUUAAAUAUGGGAAGUUUACUUUCUGUAUUACAGCUAACGCGUUAAACAUUCCGCCUGGGGACUACGGUCGCAAGAUUAAAACUCAAAGGAAUUGACGGGGACCCGCACAAGCGGUGGAGCAUGUGGUUUAAUUCGAUGCAACGCGAAAAACCUUACCACUUCUUGACAUGGAAAUUAUACCUAUUCGAAGGGAUAGGGUCGGUUCGGCCGGGUUUCACACAGGUGUUGCAUGGCUGUCGUCAGCUCGUGUCGUGAGAUGUUGGGUAAAGUCCCGCAACGAGCGCAACCCUCAUCCUUAGUUACCAUCAGGUAAUGCUGGGGACUUUAAGGAAACUGCUAGUGAUAAACUGGAGGAAGGUGGGGAUGAUGUCAAGUCAUCAUGGCCCUUAUGAAGUGGGCUACACACGUGCUACAAUGGUGGCUACAAUGGGCUGCAAAGUCGCGAGGCUAAGCUAAUCCCUUAAAAGCCAUCUCAGUUCGAAUUGCACUCUGCAACUCGAGUGCAUGAAGUUGGAAUCGCUAGUAAUCGUGGAUCAGCAUGCCACGGUGAAUACGUUCUCGGGUCUUGUACACACUGCCCGUCACGCCAUGGGAAUUGGUUUCACUCGAAGCUAACGACCUAACCGCAAGGAGGGAGUUAUUUAAAGUGGGAUCGGUGACUGGGGUGAAGUCGAAACAAGGUAGCGGUAGGGGAAUCUGCAGCUG
rnacentral:rRNA from 1 species